UACAGAGGGGGCAAGCGUUAUUCGGAAUUAUUGGGCGUAAAGGGCGCGUAGGCGGCUUUGCAAGUGACGGGUGAAAGCCCUCGGCUUAACCGAGGAACUGCCUGUCAGACUGUAAGGCUUGAGACCGGGAGAGGUGAGUGGAAUUCCCAGUGUAGCGGUGAAAUGCGUAGAUAUCGGGAGGAACACCAAUGGCGAAGGCAGCUCGCUGGGACGUUACUGACGCUGAGACGCGAAAGCGUGGGGAGCAAACAGG
rnacentral:rRNA from 1 species